UGUUGCAAUUUGAAAAUCGAAUUUGUCGCCUUCUACGAGAACCUUCACGCCUCGUCGGAGAUGCUGCAGUGCCCGCGCUGUUCCGCCUCCAUCCCUGAUCACCCUGGAGUCUGUUCCAAUUGCGGAGAGAACGUCUACCAGUGCCACAAGUGUCGCUCAAUCAACUACGACGAAAAGGAUCCUUGACCAAACAGUCAAACACCAAGAACUUGGAGAAAAAAUGCAUGACAUUACAAACAUUUUGGAUGAAGCAGUUUCCUCAACAUUUUCUUGGAUUGUGUCGUUUCGAUGAAAUAAGAUAAAGAUGUAAAGAAAGAUAUGGCUUCCGCAGUCCCGCCUUUCCUACGGGCUGCUCUCGAUCGCUGGAACAGCCGAAUUCCGAUUUUCCAGCCUUUUUCUCCUGACGUUCUGGCCAGUCUAGCGAUCUGAUUCCGUCUGAAUCGUAUCUCAAGCCCGGCAUCGUCUUUGCCUUACCUGUUGAACGCGGCUGUUCGGCUGGCCAACGACCUAGUCGUCUGUUACCCCAUCUCGGAAGAGGCCGAAAAAAAACUGGUUGGCGUCUUCUUCCCUAUAGUACUGGACGCCUGCUUCGAGAAUUUGGUCGAUCUCGUUCAACUGGUUACGGAACGUCUAGUGGGAGCUGCCGACAGCGAUCGCUAUCAAGAUAUUGCCUCCCACAUCAUCAUCAGUCGGACCAUUCGUUGGUUACGGCUUGUGGAGCCCCGGUCCGCUGCUUGAAAGAGAAAGCCAUCGAAGAGUACUUUCGCUUCCUGGAAUCUUGCGUUGAAAAUCCGCUCACUCGCCAUCCACUUUCCCGAUUUUACACUUUCGAAGAGGAAGUCCAUUCCUUAUGCGUCCUUAUGGGACAUUAUUUUCUCGACGACGACGCAGGAGCUAUUGCCUACCUACAGAAAUCGGUUUAUUGCUUCAUCAACAAGAUGCUGUCAAUCAACGGAAACGAACGACACUGAUUUAGAUAACCUAUGUUUGACACUGUUGAACUUUGGCAGGAUUGACGAGGAUCGUUUGGAAGCAUGGAUUGAGUUAGUCAUCCAUCGUCAUUUGACUGGUCAAGACGACGAGGAAAUCCAGCAGCAAUCAGCUGGCAGGAGC